rnacentral:rRNA from 1 species
AGUGGACGCUGGCGGUAGGCCUAACACAUGCAAGUCGAACGGCAGCACAGUAAGAGCUUGCUCUUACGGGUGGCGAGUGGCGGAUGGGUGAGGAAUACAUCGGAAUCUACUUUUUCGUGGGGGAUAACGUAGGGAAACUUACGCUAAUACCGCAUACGACCUACGGGUGAAAGCAGGGGAUCUUCGGACCUUGCGCGAUUGAAUGAGCCGAUGUCGGAUUAGCUAGUUGGCGGGGUAAAGGCCCACCAAGGCGACGAUCCGUAGCUGGUCUGAGAGGAUGAUCAGCCGCACUGGAACUGAGACACGGUCCAGACUCCUACGGGAGGCAGCAGUGGGGAAUAUUGGACAAUGGGCGCAAGCCUGAUCCAGCCAUACCGCGUGGGUGAAGAAGGCCUUCGGGUUGUAAAGCCCUUUUGUUGGGAAAGAAAAGCAGCAGGUUAAUACCCCGCUGUUCUGACGUUACCCAAAGAAUAAGCACCGGCUAACUUCGUG